GAUGAACGCUGGCGGUAUGCUUAACACAUGCAAGUCGAACGGACUCUUCGGAGUUAGUGGCGGACGGGUGAGUAACGCGUGAGAAUCUGGCUUUGGGUUCGGGACAACCACUGGAAACGGUGGCUAAUACCGGAUGUGCCGAGAGGUAAAAGAGAAAUUGCCGGAAGAUGAGCUCGCGUCUGAUUAGCUAGUUGGUGAGGUAAAGGCUCACCAAGGCAGCGAUCAGUAGCUGGUCUGAGAGGAUGACCAGCCACACUGGGACUGAGACACGGCCCAGACUCCUACGGGAGGCAGCAGUGGGGAAUUUUCCGCAAUGGGCGAAAGCCUGACGGAGCAAUACCGCGUGAGGGAAGAAGGCUCUUGGGUUGUAAACCUCUUUUCUUAGGGAAGAACAAAAUGACGGUACCUAAGGAAUCAGCAUCGGCUAACUCCGUG
rnacentral:rRNA from 1 species